rnacentral:rRNA from 1 species
UAGGGAAUUGUUCGCAAUGGGCGCAAGCCUGACGACGCAACGCCGCGUGGAGGAUGAAGGGCUUCGGCUCGUAAACUCCUUUCGACCGAGAUGAAUACCCGCAGGGCUAACAUCCCUGCGGACUGACAGUAUCGAGGGAAGAAGCCCCGGCUAACUCCGUGCCAGCAGCCGCGGUAAUACGGGGGGGGCAAGCGUUGUUCGGAAUUACUGGGCGUAAAGGGUUCGUAGGUGGUCAACUAAGUCAUACGUGAAAUCCCUCAGCUUAACUGGGGAACUGCGUCUGAUACUGGUUGACUUGAGUGCAGGAGAGGAACGCGGAAUUCCAGGUGUAGCGGUGAAAUGCGUAGAUAUCUGGAGGAACACCGGUGGCGAAGGCGGCGUUCUGGGCUGUAACUGACACUGAGGAACGAAAGCCAGGGGAGCGAAACGGGAUUAGAUACCCCGGUAGUCCUGGCCCUAAACGAUGAAUGCUUGGUGUGGCGGGUAUCGAUCCCUGCCGUGCCGAAGUUACG